rnacentral:lncRNA from 1 species
CCUCUGCUGCUGCAUUCCCUGCUUAAUACUCAAGCCAGAAACCAGGAAGGCUGUGGCUUGCCUUUUCACUUCUUGUGUCCUGUUUAAGAAAUAUCUGCUAUCCCAAGCAUCUGGCAUCUUUCUUGACAUAUGUAGCAGUUGCUUUUUGACAGCUUGCUUCUUCAGUGAAUGAAUAAAUUAAUAAAGAGAAAUGUGAUGUUCAGUGAUCCAUUUUGCAGGAUAAACCAGUAUUCUGGACUAAGCCAACGUGGGAGACCCUAGGAGGCCUGUUUGAGAAAGUGACAUUUAAAUUGAGACUUGGCGGUGGCUGUGGCUACAUAUCUAAUUGCAAACUCCUAGAGAAGGGCUCAACAGUGAGUGCUGAGGCUGCACAGAGGAGGAAGGCAGCACAAUGAUGGAAGGCUUCCUAAAGAGGCUCUUGAGUUUCUGCUUUCAAGUGACCCUCAGAAAUUCCUCCAUUCACUGCAGAGGUUCUGUUUCUCCUUGCUUUGUUCUGACUUUACGGCAGAACUAAGCUAAUGAGUUAGUUACUAUGGGUUAUCACUUGGAUUUGAAGAACCAUCAUUUCUAGGCAUUGCUGCUCAGAGUGGGUCUGCCCUCAGGGGAAGCUGUCUAACCAGAGCCUAACCCACUAGGGUUUUAUCAGAACCUAACUGACCUGAGGAAAAGAAAUACUCAACUCCAGCAAGCUCCAGCCUUCCAAAUGGAGGAGGAGAAAACCCAACUCCAGCCCACUUCAGCUAUCUUGUCCCACAUAAAGGGGAAGUGGAAGAAACCUGAGAAGCAGGCAUGAAGUUCACAGUCCAGAGGUACAGACACAUCAGAGUUCAGUAUCUGAUGAAUUAGAUGCAAAAACCUCAACAAAGUAUUAGCAAAUUGAAUUCAACAAUGUAUGAAAAUUAUUACAUGCCAUGACUAAUUGGAAUUUAUCUCAGGUAUACAAGCCACGCUGAACAUCUGAAAAUCAAUUCAUGUGAUCCAUCACAUUAGCAGACUCAAGAAAAAAAACCACAUUAUCAUAUCAGUAGAUGUAGAAAAAAAAAAUUAACAAAAUCCAGCACCCAUUCACAAUGAAAAUGCCCAGUAAAUUAGAAAUAGAAGGUAACUUCCUCAAAUUGAUAAGGAAUAUCUCUAAAAACCUACAACUAAAAUCAUACUUAAUGGUAGAAAACUAGAAGCCUUCCCAGUAAGAGUAAGAACAAGUCAAAGAUGUAUGCUCUCACCAAUGCUUUUCAACAUCAUAUUGGAAGUCCUAGCUAGUGCAAUAAGCAAAAAAAAAAAAAAA